rnacentral:rRNA from 1 species
UUAGCUAGUUGGUGAGGUAAAGGCUCACCAAGGCGACGAUCCGUAGCAGGUCUGAGAGGAUGAUCUGCCACACUGGGAGUGAGACACGGCCCAGACUCCUACGGGAGGCAGCAGUGGGGAAUUUUGGACAAUGGGCGAAAGCCUGAUCCAGCCAUUCCGCGUGUCUGAAGAAGGCCUUAGGGUUGUAAAGGACUUUUGUCUAGGAGCAAAUCGCCUUACUUAAUACGUGAAAUGGAUGAGAGUACUAUGAAGAAUAAGCACCGGCUAACUCCGUGCCAGCAGCCGCGGUAAUACGUAUGGUGCAAGCGUUAAUCGGAAUUAUUG